AUCUGGUUGAUUCUGCCAGUAGUCAUAUGCUUGUCUCAAAGAUUAAGCCAUGCAUGUCUAAGUAUAAGCAAUUUAUACGGUGAAACUGCGAAUGGCUCAUUAAAUCAGUUAUCGUUUAUUUGAUAGUACCUUACUACAUGGAUACCUGUGGUAAUUCUAGAGCUAAUACAUGCUAAAAACCUCGACUUCGGAAGGGGUGUAUUUAUUAGAUAAAAAACCAAUGCCCUUCGGGGCUCCUUGGUGAAUCAUAAUAACUUAACGAAUCGCAUGGCCUUGCGCCGGCGAUGGUUCAUUCAAAUUUCUGCCCUAUCAACUUUCGAUGGUAGGAUAGUGGCCUACCAUGGUGGCAACGGGUAACGGGGAAUUAGGGUUCGAUUCCGGAGAGGGAGCCUGAGAAACGGCUACCACAUCCAAGGAAGGCAGCAGGCGCGCAAAUUACCCAAUCCCGACACGGGGAGGUAGUGACAAUAAAUACUGAUACGGGGCUCUUUUGGGUCUCGUAAUUGGAAUGAGUACAAUCUAAAUCCCUUAACGAGGAACAAUUGGAGGGCAAGUCUGGUGCCAGCAGCCGCGGUAAUUCCAGCUCCAAUAGCGUAUAUUAAAGUUGUUGCAGUUAAAAAGCUCGUAGUUGAACCUUGGGUCUGGCUGGCCGGUCCGCCUCACCGCGAGUACUGGUCCGGCUGGACCUUUCCUUCUGGGGAACCUCAUGGCCUUCACUGGCUGUGGGGGGAACCAGGACUUUUACUGUGAAAAAAUUAGAGUGUUCAAAGCAGGCCUUUGCUCGAAUACAUUAGCAUGGAAUAAUAGAAUAGGACGUGCGGUUCUAUUUUGUUGGUUUCUAGGACCGCCGUAAUGAUUAAUAGGGAUAGUCGGGGGCGUCAGUAUUCAGCUGUCAGAGGUGAAAUUCUUGGAUUUGCUGAAGACUAACUACUGCGAAAGCAUUCGCCAAGGAUGUUUUCAUUAAUCAGGGAACGAAAGUUAGGGGAUCGAAGACGAUCAGAUACCGUCGU
rnacentral:rRNA from 1 species